CCCUCUCCCUCGUCUGCCGCCGCCACCACCACCGGCGACCUCCUCCAUGGCUGACACACCACCCCCUUCUCUUCCCCCUUACCUUCUCCUCAUCAGCGACCUCCUUCCCUCCCCCUCGCCCCAGAUCGAAGAAUAGGCCCGGAUGCGACGCGGGCUCAGAUCCAGCACGCCCACAACACUCUUUUUGCUGGAGGACGCCAUGGAAAAGGUGCUCUGGCCCUGGUACUGCAGCCAUGGAGAGGUGCCCUCCCAUCUUUAUGUGCGUGUUUGUUGGAUGGUGAGAAAAGAUAACUGGAUCAAGAGCUACUUCGAUGCCAUCCUCGACAUCGGCAAGUCAGCCGACGGUGGCGUACAGGACCAAGGAGAGGAGCAGCGGGCCAGGAGGUCUGACCCUCCCCUAUGCCCCCAUGGCCAUGGUGUGUACUGGGCAUUCUACUUUGUUAUUCCUCUUUAAUAAGCACAUUAUGGUACUGAUGGUUAUUGACCUAUGGAAAUGAGAUUAUUGAACUGUUACGCCAACUGUUUCUUACACGGCUUUCCAUCAUUGCCAAGCAGAAGGAAUGCCCAGCAGACCUGGAAGAUGGUAUCCGCAGUUUGAUUAUUGCAGCCCCAAUGGUGCUCUGAACGCAGUCAAAUGUGCGACCUUUUUUACAAGAAGUAUGGGAAAGAUUUCGUUGCUGCUGCAGUUGACAUAUGCCCAAAUGUUUGUGUAUUUCAUUUCUUUUUCUGCAAAGCCAUUUGUUGUCACUACUGCAUGUAUUUUAUGCUCACUAUUGAAAUCAACGAUGUCCUUCUGAAGGUAAUUGAGAAGUUGUCAGUCAAUAAGCCGUGUAGGCAAUUUAAGUUGGAAGUUCUUAAGGAUAUAGCAAAGGAGCAUCAGAUAGAUUGGGAUACGAGCAAGGCUGAGCAGGAACUUCUUAAACCUGCUGAAGAGCUGAUUUAUGUAAUACUAAAACUGCAAUGCCACAUACUUCUGUUUUACAUUGUGUAUAGUCUUUGAGCUAAUAGGCUUUAACUUCUGAGCAGCAAGUAUGGAAUUUGGCAAGUUAUUGUGUCUCUGCAAGGCUUCUACUCGCAAUGGAGUUGUUUGCAGCAUUUUGAAAUCAAGUUUCUAUAUAUAAUACACACAUCGUGUUUGUGAUUGCUAAUUCGGUCAUCCUUUUGAACAAAAAAGGCACCGGAAGGGGUGGCUUGCUGGCACCGCCCAUGAACAUCUCAGGCAGAGAUAUCCGAUACAAUCUUACGUUUGUUUACAUUCUCCAUUUAAUGAUAUAUGCAUGUGUAACGAACCAGUUAUAUUUGUUUAUAAGAAUUUUACAUGAGUAUUCCUACACAUAGAUGAAUAUCCUCCUGAUGCUAAUCAAGGAUUCGAUAUUCCAUAAGCUUUGGUUAACUUGUGUGAGUUAAUUCUAGGAGAAGAUAACUUGCAACAGAUCCAAUGUUUGUCUCACAUAUACUAGAAAACUUUCAAGGUAAAUAUAUGAUAUUUACUACCUUGAGAGUUUUAGAUAUUCUUCUUUUAUCUUCUCAUUACAAUAUUAUUAUGUGAUGCAGGAAGAUAAUGUGAUGAAGUCAUACACAGAAGUGUUGAUUGUUCCCUUGAUCCUUGACAGCGCAUCCUCACCUCACAGGACUCGCGGCUCAAGCCGUCGUUGUUGUGCUCCUGCGAUUGUCCACUAACAGUAUUUAUUUUGCUUAUUCAUUGCGCCACAAGUAUCUCUUGAAAAGUAUUCUUGUACUCCUGCAAUUAAAAUUUCUGGAUUUAGUGAUGGCACUGUCCAAAAC
rnacentral:rRNA from 1 species